rnacentral:rRNA from 1 species
GCCCUGUUGAUCAAAAACAUGGCUCUUUGUUUGUGUGUAAGGAGUCGGGCCUGCCCGGUGAUUUUUCAGAUUUUGAAGUUGUGUGAGUGAUUAAAAAUUUUUUUAAACGGCUGCAAUUAGUAAUUGUGCUAAGGUAGCGUAGUCAUUUGCCCCUUAAUUAGGGGAAGGUAUGAAUGGUUUGACGUGGGAAAGACUGUCUCUCUUGUAUUAAAAGAAGUUUAUUUUUGAGUGAAAAAGCUUAGAUGGUUAUAAAAGACGAGAAGACCCUAUCGAACUUGAAUUGUUUAUUUAAAUUUUUAAAUAGGUAAAGUUUAGUUGGGGAAACUUAAAGUAAAAGGUAACGCUUUAUUUUUUUGUUGUGAUCCUGUAGUAUGGAAAGGUGAAAAAGUUACCGUAGGGAUAACAGCGCUUUCUUCUCUGAGAGGACUAAUUAAAGAGUUGGUUGCGACCUCGAUGUUGGAUUAAAAUUUCUUUUUGGGGUAGGGGUUAAAAUAGUAAGACUGUUCGUCUUUUAAAAUUUUACA